rnacentral:tRNA from 1 species
AAGCAAGAAGCAAAAAAUUGCAUUUAGUUUCGACCUAAAAGUUUGAUAAAUUUAUCCUUGCUUA